GAGGAAUAUUGGUCAAUGGGCGCAAGCCUGAACCAGCCAUGCCGCGUGAAGGAUGACUGCCCUAUGGGUUGUAAACUUCUUUUUUACAGGAAGAAACCUUCGAACGUGUUCGAAGCUGACGGUACUGUAUGAAUAAGGAUCGGCUAACUCCGUGCCAGCAGCCGCGGUAAUACGGAGGAUCCAAGCGUUAUCCGGAUUUAUUGGGUUUAAAGGGUGCGUAGGCGGACUUAUAAGUCAGUGGUGAAAUCCUGCAGCUUAACUGCGGAACUGCCAUUGAUACUGUAGGUCUUGAGUACAUUUGGAGUAGGCGGAAUGUGUCAUGUAGCGGUGAAAUGCUUAGAUAUGACACAGAACACCAAUCGCGAAGGCAGCUUACUAAACUGUAACUGACGCUGAGGCACGAAAGCGUGGGGAUCAAAC
rnacentral:rRNA from 1 species